UGCCACCGGGCCAUGCAUCUACAGUGGUGUGCGAUCCCGAAAACGACCCUGUGGGUCCGUAUAAUUACGAAAGUGCCUAUCGGUGAACUAGAUGACGUCAUUAAUCGUCCGCCUCUCGCUUUCUCUCUGUCUAUCCAUCUCUGUGAUCGGGGAUGGAGUGUGAUGCGAUUUGGUUGCAGGAUUGCCGUGAUUUCGUUGGUUUUCGAUGGAGAGCUGGAGAAAGAUAAGAUCUUUGCAUCGAAUCGUCGAAGAGGCGUGAGAGGACGGUGCAAUGUCAUCGCGCAAAACGUGUUGAGAUAGCCAGUUGGGGGUUGAUGUGCUAUUUUCUGGUGAGCGACGAAGGGUGCCAUUUUUCGUUCACUGUUGAGGCGAGCAAAGGCGCCGUUUUUGUGAGGGUAAAUUUGGUGACGACGGAGGGCGUCAGAUCGCCGUACGACGAGUUCUCUCGCCAAUUCGGAACCCUAGUAGACGCUGAGGAAGUCGAGUCAAUCAAGCAACUUCAGCAUAUCAUGUAAUCGGCCUCGCCUUGCUACUUCAAUUUUUACGAAGGUACUGAUUCGUAUGCCAUUUUUUUGUGAUAUCGUUGGAUUUAUCUCUCUGUGAAUUGAUAAUUCUUGAACAUUGUCUUGUUUUUGAGAAACAAGAGAAUGAGGUCCAUUUCCUACUCAUCUGCUGGCCUUUUAUGUUCAUGUCAAACCUCUUUGUUAGCCAAAUUUUUUGUCUGAACUCUCUGCAAGAUUUGAAGGCAAGCUUAUGGGGUUGAUCAGCAGAACCACUGUGUACAACCUGAAGUCAGUAAAUAUGAACCAAAGCUUGCUCUAGAUGGAGGUAAGAAUGGGAUGGAUCUUCUUCUUCAUCUCUGAAGGUUCUGCUUCUGCAAUUAACCGUGACAGUUCCUAUGCAUUUGAGGCAAUGGAUUCAGAGCUUGCUUGCUCUGAAUCCACAACAUUCUAUGUUUCCUUUAGUGAUGAAAGUCAUUCCAAGAUCAAAGAGAGUAGCAUUCUGGAAUUCCAAAGGAUUUACUCUGUGAUUACUUUCCCUGGCUGGCAAUGAUAGACUGAUGCAUAAUUCUUUCUUGAUAAUUCAUUAUAUCUGUGUGCUUCUGCAUCAUCAUCAUGGACCAGUGUGCAGAUUAAUGCAUCUUUCUGGUAAUUUUGUGAAGAAUCUGCUUCCUUAUCUUACUGUUUCAUCUCAUUUAAAGCAAUUCUAUGUUCAGUCUCAUGUUUGGAACUAUUUGAAGUUCCAAACUUCUCACCCAAAUGUUUCAUCUUUCUUCAGGAUCUUUCAUGGUCAACAUUGGAGCUGCUGUCUUUUAAUGGGGAUGGAAGGUGACAACUAGGCCUUUUCUUCCUCUUAUUUUGCUCAUUCAUGUUAUAUCUCCAAAUCUUAAUUAAAUCUAGUAAAAUAUUUUAAGUAUAUUUAAAAGAAUUUUUGAUUCCUUGGUUCAUGUAAAGCAAUCUAAGUUUACUGUUCAUAGAUUGAGAUUACGUUGACUUGUGGCAGAGAAAUGUGGGCGGAGGGACUAAAGAGGGUUCGAAGGGCAAACCGACAACAUUCGAGAAACGUGUGCGCAAAAAUAGCGUGAUUACGAUUCUACUCUUUUGAGGGGAAUGCUUUUGAGCCGUCGAUGCAGAGAUCGGACGGCUGUACUGGUCUGAGUGUGAACAACCUUUUUGUAAAUAUGGUGU
rnacentral:lncRNA from 1 species